GAUGAAGAACGUAGCGAAAUGCGAUACGUAAUGUGAAUUGCAGAUUUCAGUGAAUCAUCGAAUCUUUGAACGCACAUUGCGCCCGCCAGUAUUCUGGCGGGCAUGCCUGUUCGAGCGUCAUUUCAACCAUCAAGCGCCUCGCUUGUGUUGGGGCCCUGCGGCUGCCGCAGGCCCCUAAAUCCAGUGGCGGGCUCGUCGUCGUACCGAGUGCAGUAAACAUCCUCGCACAGGGAACCCGACGGGUGCCGGCCGUGAAACCCCCCCUCCUCAAGGUUGACCUCGGAUCAGGUAGGAAUACCCGCUGAACUUAAGCAUAUCAAUAAGCGGAGGA
rnacentral:misc_RNA from 1 species